rnacentral:rRNA from 1 species
GGUUAAGCGACUAAGCGUACACGGUGGAUGCCCUGGCAGUCAGAGGCGAUGAAGGGCGUGCUAAUCUGCGAUAAGCGCCGGUAAGGUGAUAUGAACCGUUAUAACCGGCGAUACCCGAAUGGGGAAACCCAGUGUGAUUCGUCACACUAUCAUUAACUGAAUCCAUAGGUUAAUGAGGCGAACCGGGGGAACUGAAACAUCUAAGUACCCCGAGGAAAAGAAAUCAACCGAGAUUCCCCCAGUAGCGGCGAGCGAACGGGGAGGAGCCCAGAGCCUGAAUCAGCAUGUGUGUUAGUGGAAGCGUCUGGAAAGGCGCGCGAUACAGGGUGACAGCCCCGUACACAAAAGCGCAUGUGCUGUGAGCUCGAUGAGUAGGGCGGGACACGUGGUAUCCUGUCUGAAUAUGGGGGGACCAUCCUCCAAGGCUAAAUACUCCUGACUGACCGAUAGUGAACCAGUACCGUGAGGGAAAGGCGAAAAGAACCCCGGCGAGGGGAGUGAAAAAGAACCUGAAACCGUGUACGUACAAGCAGUGGGAGCACAGGUUUACCUGUGUGACUGCGUACCUUUUGUAUAAUGGGUCAGCGACUUAUAUUCUGUAGCAAGGUUAACCGCAUAGGGGAGCCGGAGGGAAACCGAGUCUUAAUUGGGCGUUAAGUUGCAGGGUAUAGACCCGAAACCCGGUGAUCUAGCCAUGGGCAGGUUGAAGGUUGGGUAACACUAACUGGAGGACCGAACCGACUAAUGUUGAAAAAUUAGCGGAUGACCUGUGGCUGGGGGUGAAAGGCCAAUCAAACCGGGAGAUAGCUGGUUCUCCCCGAAAGCUAUUUAGGUAGCGCCUCGUGAAUUCAUCUCCGGGGGUAGAGCACUGUUUCGGCUAGGGGGCCAUCCCGGCUUACCAACCCGAUGCAAACUGCGAAUACCGGAGAAUGUUAUCACGGGAGACACACGGCGGGUGCUAACGUCCGUCGUGAAGAGGGAAACAACCCAGACCGCCAGCUAAGGUCCCAAAGUCAUGGUUAAGUGGGAAACGAUGUGGGAAGGCCCAGACAGCCAGGAUGUUGGCUUAGAAGCAGCCAUCAUUUAAAGAAAGCGUAAUAGCUCACUGGUCGAGUCGGCCUGCGCGGAAGAUGUAACGGGGCUAAACCAUGCACCGAAGCUGCGGCAGCGACGCUUAUGCGUUGUUGGGUAGGGGAGCGUUCUGUAAGCCUGCGAAGGUGGCCUGUGAGGGUUGCUGGAGGUAUCAGAAGUGCGAAUGCUGACAUAAGUAACGAUAAAGCGGGUGAAAAGCCCGCUCGCCGGAAGACCAAGGGUUCCUGUCCAACGUUAAUCGGGGCAGGGUGAGUCGACCCCUAAGGCGAGGCCGAAAGGCGUAGUCGAUGGGAAACGGGUUAAUAUUCCCGUACUUGGUGUUACUGCGAAGGGGGGACGGAGAAGGCUAUGUUGGCCGGGCGACGGUUGUCCCGGUUUAAGCGUGUAGGUGUGUGUUCCAGGUAAAUCCGGUUCACUUUAACACUGAGGCGUGACGACGAGGCACUACGGUGCUGAAGCAACAAAUGCCCUGCUUCCAGGAAAAGCCUCUAAGCAUCAGGUAACAUCAAAUCGUACCCCAAACCGACACAGGUGGUCAGGUAGAGAAUACCAAGGCGCUUGAGAGAACUCGGGUGAAGGAACUAGGCAAAAUGGUGCCGUAACUUCGGGAGAAGGCACGCUGACACGUAGGUGAAGUGAUUUACUCACGGAGCUGAAGUCAGUCGAAGAUACCAGCUGGCUGCAACUGUUUAUUAAAAACACAGCACUGUGCAAACACGAAAGUGGACGUAUACGGUGUGACGCCUGCCCGGUGCCGGAAGGUUAAUUGAUGGGGUCAGCGCAAGCGAAGCUCCUGAUCGAAGCCCCGGUAAACGGCGGCCGUAACUAUAACGGUCCUAAGGUAGCGAAAUUCCUUGUCGGGUAAGUUCCGACCUGCACGAAUGGCGUAAUGAUGGCCAGGCUGUCUCCACCCGAGACUCAGUGAAAUUGAACUCGCUGUGAAGAUGCAGUGUACCCGCGGCAAGACGGAAAGACCCCGUGAACCUUUACUAUAGCUUGACACUGAACAUUGAGCCUUGAUGUGUAGGAUAGGUGGGAGGCUUUGAAGUGUGGACGCCAGUCUGCAUGGAGCCGACCUUGAAAUACCACCCUUUAAUGUUUGAUGUUCUAACGUGGACCCGUAAUCCGGGUUGCGGACAGUGUCUGGUGGGUAGUUUGACUGGGGCGGUCUCCUCCUAAAGAGUAACGGAGGAGCACGAAGGUUGGCUAAUCCUGGUCGGACAUCAGGAGGUUAGUGCAAUGGCAUAAGCCAGCUUGACUGCGAGCGUGACGGCGCGAGCAGGUGCGAAAGCAGGUCAUAGUGAUCCGGUGGUUCUGAAUGGAAGGGCCAUCGCUCAACGGAUAAAAGGUACUCCGGGGAUAACAGGCUGAUACCGCCCAAGAGUUCAUAUCGACGGCGGUGUUUGGCACCUCGAUGUCGGCUCAUCACAUCCUGGGGCUGAAGUAGGUCCCAAGGGUAUGGCUGUUCGCCAUUUAAAGUGGUACGCGAGCUGGGUUUAGAACGUCGUGAGACAGUUCGGUCCCUAUCUGCCGUGGGCGCUGGAGAACUGAGGGGGGCUGCUCCUAGUACGAGAGGACCGGAGUGGACGCAUCACUGGUGUUCGGGUUGUCAUGCCAAUGGCACUGCCCGGUAGCUAAAUGCGGAAGAGAUAAGUGCUGAAAGCAUCUAAGCACGAAACUUGCCCCGAGAUGAGUUCUCCCUGAGACUUAGAGUCUCCUGAAGGAACGUUGAAGACGACGACGUUGAUAGGCCGGGUGUGUAAGCGCAGCGAUGCGUUGAGCUAACCGGUACUAAUGAACCGUGAGGCUUAACCUU